AUGCAGUUCAUCCUUGCCAUGGAUUUGCUGGCCAGAAGUAGCCAAACUGGACCCUACAUCAAUGGGGUGUAUAUGCAGAUAUGUGGUGCCGAUGGACGGCUAUUACCUGAACUAAAAUUCUUGAUUACCAACAGCGACCUCUUCUCAGAUGGAACAACUGAUUUUCAGCCUUGGCCACUCCCUUCUUGUAUGACAUCUGUGAUUCGGCCUUGCUUAAGUUUCCAACCACUGGGCACGCGUUUUGCAUUCGGUCUCUUGUCGACAAAUUUGUUGUACCCAAUAAUCGAGGAGGUAUGUACAAGAUUAACUGGGAAGAUGCAACACUUGGUGGUGUUGGUGAAAUUGCAGUCUAGUUUGUCCUGGGAGCUACAAUUGUUCGUACUUGUGGCCAGCCGUAAAAAGGCAGUGAUCUGGCUAGUUUUUCAGUAUGCCCCACGUCACAUGAUCCUACUUCUGCCCUGGGAUCCAGGGGCUCCUUUGCAUACCAGGUGUAUCACUUUUCAGGCUGAGAAGAUGCAAAACUGGAAGUUGUCACCGGCAGAGCUGCAACCUUGGUCUUUUUUGGAGGCAUCUCUAUUGAUUCUUAUUCUUAUAAUGGUGAGAACUAUAUCAGGCAUUGAUUGUUUAGGUACAUUUUUACAUACUCUGCAAGGUAUCGAUGAUCAAUUGCGAGAAAUUAUGUUCGAUGAGAUUGAGCCACAAGUGGCAGUAUAUCUGAAGGAAUUGUGUGUCCAUGGCAAGGCUAUGGCUGUAUGCAACAUCAUCCAGCCUGCAAUAGUAGCUAUUCUUGUUAAUCAGCUAUAUGGUGACAAAAUUCUUCUCUUUCAUGAUCAAGACCUCUAUGGUGCACUGAACAAAAAUGAAAAUUCGAGUUGGUUGCAACCUAUUCCAAAGAGAUUCAAGCCAUCGGUUUGGAAGUUUCAGACGUCACAAGAAAGUGCAAAAUCAAUGGAAUUUCUCUUGGUUUGUCAAUAUGGGAAACAAUCCCUUGGUCCUUGGCGGCGUUCACAAAUCUUGCUGCAGAAGCACCCGCCUAAGUGGCACACUACAACAAGAGGGGUGUAUGAUUGCGGUUCUCUUCAUAGCAAAUCCCAGCCAACAUUCGGAGUGUCCAUUUUGGCUCAUUACAAGAAUCCUUCCCAGAUCAGUAAAGCGAGACGUCAGGUUGUGACUACAAUAUUUAUCUUGGUGCCUGUGGUCUUUGUUGAUGAAGCUGCUCAAUACUGGAUGAUUCUUUGGGAUCCUGGCGGCUACACGUCUGAACUGUGCAGCUCUAACAAAUUGUGGAAUAGUCCUCUGCUUUGUUCUGAGGGACUUCAGUGGCCACUAAUGAUCCCAGUAUGUGCACCUCAGAUUGGGGGUUUGGGGCAAGGCCCAGGGAUGACAUGGAGUCCUCGACUCGCUAGGAACAAGUUUCUUUUCAAGAAGGGAGGAAUGCCAUGCUUCGAGUUGCCUUUUCUGACCCUGUUCAUCUUGGCUACGGCUACUACUUUGAUGAAGACUAUUAUGAUCAAGACUGCAUCGACCUCUGUGGCUACCAUGAAGAUUACCGCAAUAAUGUAA
rnacentral:rRNA from 1 species